rnacentral:snoRNA from 1 species
UCCCUAUCAGAGUAACUAUGACAUAAGCUUCACUUGGACAAUUGCCCAUAGCCUUUGAUAAGUGAUCAUCAUGUAGGGU